AAAUGCACAGUUUCAAAUUUCUUUGGGUGCUCGGUCAAAGAGGAUGACCAUCCCCAAUAGAGGAGGACCGGGUCCUCGGUCAAGGGUGUAUGAGUAGCUGCGCUCCCCUGCUAGAACCUACAAACAAGCUCUCAAAUAUUGUUUAAUCAGGAUUUUCUUUAAUAGGAUACACACAACUUAGUUGUACAUCCCUUAUGUAGACUUUA
ensembl:misc_RNA 7SK 7SK RNA